AUUAGUGUCCAAUACUAUUUUUAUUUUUCUAACAAUGUUACUAUCGAAAAUUACAUUAUAUGUUAAUAUUUAAGACGGUUGGGGUACCAUUAUGUUUUCAUAUAACAUCUAACAAUAUUUUUGUAGAUUAAUAUAAAUAUUACAUCUUUACAGGCAUUCUUUAACCAUGUGAUAUUGGUUUUUUGAUAUAGUAUUAAUAUCCAGAGUAAACUCUAACUAUUUUGAAUAGCUGCUAACAUUAUUAUUAUCCUUUAUGUAAUUCUACGUAAAGUAUAUCAUUAACUUCUAAGUAAACAUGUUAGACAUCAUUAAUAUAUUAUAUACUCUAGUAUGGGCUCAUGUCUUAUUAUUAACUAAUUCUUAAAUCACAUGGCAGCCUUCAUGUAU
rnacentral:lncRNA from 1 species